GCGAGGGUAGCCAAGCCAGGUCAACGGCGUCAGGUUCAGGGCCUGAUCUCGAAGGAGUUCAUGGGUUCGAAUCCCACCCCUCGCA
rnacentral:tRNA from 1 species